GUAGGUGGGCAAGCGUUGUCCGGAAUUAUUGGGCGUAAAGCGCGCGCAGGGCGGUCCUUUAAGUCUGGGUGUGAAAGCCCACGGGCUCAACCGUGGAGGGUCAUUGGAAACUGGGGGACUUGAGUACAGAAGAGGAAAGCGGAAUUCCAAGUGUAGCGGUGAAAUGCGUAGAGAUUUGGAGGAACACCAGUGGCGAAGGCGGCUUUCUGGUCUGUAACUGACGCUGAGGCGCGAAAGCGUGGGGAGCAAACAGGAUUAGAUACCCUGGUAGUCCACGCCGUAAACGAUGAGUGCUAAGUGUUAGGGGGUUUCCGCCCCUUAGUGCUGCAGCUAACGCAUUAAGCACUCCGCCUGGGGAGUACGGCCGCAAAGGCUG
rnacentral:rRNA from 1 species